rnacentral:rRNA from 1 species
UACGUAGGGUGCGAGCGUUAAUCGGAAUUACUGGGCGUAAAGCGUGCGCAGGCGGUUUGUUAAGACAGAUGUGAAAUCCCCGGGCUCAACCUGGGCACUGCAGUUGGAACUGGCAAGCUAGAGUAGGGUAGAGGGGUGUGGAAUUCCAGGUGUAGCGGUGAAAUGCGUAGAUAUCUGGAGGAACAUCAGUGGCGAAGGCGACACCCUAGACUCAUACUGACACUGAGGUGCGAAAGCGUGGGGAGCAAACAGG